rnacentral:rRNA from 1 species
UACGGAGGAUGCGAGCGUUAUCCGGAUUUAUUGGGUUUAAAGGGUGCGUAGGCGGCUUAGUAAGUCAGCGGUGAAAUUUUGCAGCUUAACUGUAACAGUGCCGUUGAUACUGCCAGGCUAGGAUUUGGUUGCUGUGGGUGGAAUGUGUGGUGUAGCGGUAAAAUGCUUAGAUAUCACACAGAAUAUCGAUUGCGAAGGCAGCUCACAAAGCCAAGAUUGACGCUGAGGCACGAAAGUGUGGGGAUCAAACAGGA